CUGGCCCUUCCGUCCGCAACCUUGGCACCGAACUGAAGCCGGUGACGAUCAACGCCGCCAGAGGUCGGUGGGUCGGCGUUCCGUUAGCCCGCAGCGUGACAGGCGCUGCUGCAGCGAAGCGGCGAGGCCUCCAGAGUGAGGGAGGAAACUGGAGCACCCGGAGGAAACCCACGCAGUCACGGGGAGAAUGUGCAGGAAUGAGGCAGCAAUUGAACCCAGGUCUCUAGCACUGUGAGGCAGCAGUGCGAACCACUGCCACCGUGCCAUCCCACUUGGUGGGAAGAAAGAUGGCAGAUGACUGGAUACUUCAGAUCUGAGCCUGGCAAUGCAUCGUUGCAGUAAGCUGCCAGUUUUUGUAACUCCAGCACUGACACUACUUCCAGCUUACAAUUUGAGAGUCAUAACCCACUGACUGGAAUCCAAUUCUUUCAAAGACAUUGGAAGAGCAGAAUUUGCAGAUGGAAAGCUCAAGCCAAAUACUGUGUCAAGAUCUGUCAGUCAUUCAAUUCAUCUGGACCAGAAUAUCAACAGCCUUUGAAUUGGCAGGUGAAAUGUUUGUGUGUUUUACCAGGUGAAGAAGAUUUUGAAACAUCCACAUGAGUAAGCAACACAGGUACCCAGCUGAAAAUGUACCAGUGCACUGACUGUAGAAAGAGUUUUAAUCAACUGCUGCCUGAAGAAAGAUAAUUUGUCCAUUGAUGGGGUUGGGGUUGGGGUCAAGGACAAACUGUACAUGUAUUCUAUGUCUAGUUCAGGCAUCAACAGAUCAUCCAGCCUGGAAAAAUGCAAUCACUCUUGCACCAUGGAGAAACAGUGGAAAUGUGGGAACUGUGAAAAGUGUUUCAAUUACCCCUCUGAGCUGGAAACACAUCGACAGAGUCACACAGGAGAGAGACCAUUUAUCUGCUCAUUUUGUAGGAAGGGAUUCACUCAGUCAUCCUGUCCCUACACACACUAGCGAGUUCACACCGGAGAGGGGCCAUUAGCCUACCUUGUGUAUGGAAAGGGAUUUAAUGUUUUACUCAACCUUCUAACGCACAAGUGAGUUCACACUAAUAGCAGACCUUUCAAAUGUUCUGUCUGUGAGAAGAGCUUUAAAAGUAAUCAUGAUAUGCUGACACAUUUACACACCCAUGCUGGGGAGAGGCCAUUCACUUGCUCUGUGUGUGGAAAUGGAUUCAGCCAUUCAUCCCGGUUGAAAAUGUGUUGCUGGU